rnacentral:rRNA from 1 species
GACAGAGGGUGCAAACGUUGCUCGGAAUCACUGGGCGUAAAGGGCGUGCAGGCGGGAAGGAAAGUCAGAUGUGAAAGCCCUGGGCUCAACCCAGGAACUGCAUUUGAAACUCCCUUUCUUGAGUGUCGGAGAGGAAAGCGGAAUUCCUGGUGUAGAGGUGAAAUUCGUAGAUAUCAGGAGGAACACCGGUGGCGAAGGCGGCUUUCUGGACGACAACUGACGCUGAGACGCGAAAGCGUGGGGAGCAAACAGG